rnacentral:rRNA from 1 species
CCAGACUCCUACGGGAGGCAGCAGUGGGGAAUAUUGCGCAAUGGGGGGAACCCUGACGCAGCCAUGCCGCGUGAAUGAAGAAGGCCUUCGGGUUGUAAAGUUCUUUCGGUAUUGAGGAAGGAGUGUAUGUUAAUAGCAUACAUUAUUGACGUUAAAUACAGAAGAAGCACCGGCUAACUCCGUGCCAGCAGCCGCGGUAAUACGGAGGGUGCGAGCGUUAAUCGGAAUAACUGGGCGUAAAGGGCACGCAGGCGGUUAUUUAAGUGAGGUGUGAAAGCCCCGGGCUUAACCUGGGAAUUGCAUUUCAGACUGGGUAACUAGAGUACUUUAGGGAGGGGUAGAAUUCCACGUGUAGCGGUGAAAUGCGUAGAGAUGUGGAGGAAUACCGAAGGCGAAGGCAGCCCCUUGGGAAUGUACUGACGCUCAUGUGCGAAAGCGUGGGGAGCAAACAGGAUUAGAUACCCUGGUAGUCCACGCUGUAAACGCUGUCGAUUUGGGGAUUGGGCUUAAAG